rnacentral:rRNA from 1 species
GACAGAGGAGGCAAGCGUUGUUCGGAAUCACUGGGCUUAAAGAGGGUGUAGGCGGCUCGGAAAGUGUCGUGUGAAAUCCAACGGCUCAACCGUUGAACUGCACGGCAAACUACUUGGCUUGAGGUCGGUAGAGGUGCCUGGAACUCUAGGUGGAGCGGUGAAAUGCGUAGAUAUCUAGAGGAAUGCCGGAGGCGAAAGCGGGGCACUGGGCCGAUUCUGACGCUGAGACCCGAAAGCGUGGGGAGCAAACAGGAUUAGAUACCCGCGUA